AGUGAACGCUGGCGGUAGGCCUAACACAUGCAAGUCGAACGGCAGCACAGUAAGAGCUUGCUCUUACGGGUGGCGAGUGGCGGACGGGAGAGGAAUACAUCGGAAUCUACUUUUUCGUGGGGGAUAACGUAGGGAAACUUACGCUAAUACAGCAUACGACCUACGGGGGAAAGCAGGGGAACUUCGGACCUUGCGCGAAUGAAUGAGCCGAUGUCGGAUUAGCUAGUUGGCGGGGUAAAGGCCCAGCUAGGCGACGAUCCGUAGCUGGUCUGAGAGGAUGGUCGGCCACACUGGAGCUGGGACACGGUCCAGGCUCCUACGGGAGGCAGCAGUGGGGUAUAUUGGGCAGUGGGCGGGAGCCUUAUCCAGCCAUACCGCGUGGGUGAAGAAGGCCUUCGGGUUGUGAAGCCCUUUUGUUGGUAAAGAACAGCAGCAGGUUAAUACCCCGCUGUUCUGACGGUACCCAGAGAAUAAGCACCGGCUAACUUCGUG
rnacentral:rRNA from 1 species